GCCUCAGUGCUUCAGUCGGGAAAACAUCCGACUAUGGUGCGGUAGGAUGCGGGUUCGAGUCCCAUAGAAGGCA